ACCAGAAGAGGCGCGUUACUCAGGUAAGCUGUGGAGAAAUUCAGAUUUCGCAGAAACAGUCCGAGGGGAUGUAACGCCGAGGUUCCGCGGAGUCUGAAGCCGCCGGACCGGCUACAAAGGCUGAAUCCUUUGGGCUGUCACAGAUGUGAAGAGCUUCUGG
rnacentral:ncRNA from 1 species